rnacentral:rRNA from 1 species
CGACCGGGUGAGUAACACGUGACUAACCUACCUUCGAGUGGGGGAUAACCUCGGGAAACCGGGGCUAAUACCGCAUAAUAUCUUCGGGAUGAGAAGCCGAAGAUCAAAGGAGCAAUUCGCUGGAAGAGGGAGUCGCGGCUGAUUAGCUAGUUGGCGGGGUAAUGGCCCACCAAGGCUUUGAUCGGUAGCCGGCCUGAGAGGGUGAACGGCCACACUGGAACUGACAUACGGGUCAG